GGUUCCAUAAUUCAGUGAUUUAGUCCAAUGAUGUUUGAUCGGCUGGAGUUGAUGUUAUUGCUGCAAUCCUUCGAGUUAAAUUAUGCGGAAGGAGCAGCAGAAACUCUCUCCUGGAAGGUUGCUCCAGGCUUGAAAUGAAGAACAUGAUAAUCUGAAUGACGCGCAUUUCCAUUUCUACAGAUUGGACGAGAAGCUCAUAGCUACUAUAACCAAUACUUAGAAAUCUCUUUCACCUCUAGGCUGAUUUGUUCCUUUUCUAGGUGUGUCAAGCAUGUUUGUGCCAGGUGCAGCGUUCUGAGCUUCACAUAGUUAACAACUACGCCUCAGUCCCUAACAAAUUGGUGUCUGCUAUAUGAAUCCUCACUGAGUUUCACAAUGUUGCUGACGUAAAAUGGUCCAGCUUUUAAUGGGAUCCAUCAGUGCAACUUUCAUCAGAUUUUUAUUCUGGGAAAUCUCACUGGAUAUCGCCUGGAAUUUUGAUGGUGGUUUCGGUAACAGGUAAAUGCAGUUGGCAUUCCGGAAUAUAUUCUGUUAACAAUUUCUUACAGUUGGCAUACUCUAUGACUGGGCAUGAACAAUGGNNNNNNNNNNNNNNNNNNNNNNNNNNNNNNNNNNNNNNNNNNNNNNNNNNNNNNNNNCUACAGAUUGGACGAGAAGCUCAUAGCUACAUACCAAUACUUAGAAACUCUUUCACCUCUAGGCUGAUUUGUUCCUUUUCUAGGUGUGUCAAGCAUGUUUGUGCCAGGUGCAGCGUUCUGAGCUUCACAUAGUUAACAACUACGCCUCAGUCCCUAACAAAUUGGUGUCUGCUAUAUGAAUCCUCACUGAGUUUCACAAUGUUGCUGACGUAAAAUGGUCCAGCUUUUAAUGGGAUCCAUCAGUGCAACUUUCAUCAGAUUUUUAUUCUGGGAAAUCUCACUGGAUAUCGCCUGGAAUUUUGAUGGUGGUUUCGGUAACAGGUAAAUGCAGUUGGCAUUCCGGAAUAUAUUCUGUUAACAAUUUCUUACAGUUGGCAUACUCUAUGACUGGGCAUGAACAAUGACUGCUGGAACUCUAUGCAAGGAUGAACUGACAUUGGCCGGGAAUGGUGAGAAGUAACGUGGUACAUUUUUUUUUUUGAAGUGGUGCUAUUUUAAUGCAUAUUGGUAUUUGGUGCUUUCUCUGCAGCAGAGUUCUCAUAGUAAUUUGAUUUUUGUGAUAUGCGACAACUGUGGUUCGGAUCCUUAUGCUCACAUUGUUGAAAUUUGUUACAACGUGAGCUUCUGAGUUUAUAUUUAACUAUGUAUCUUCUAUAGCACUGUGCAUUGUCUUGUCUAGGUGCAGUAUUACUGCUUGAAAAAUGAUAACUAUACCCGAGCUGGCUACCCAAGCCUCUGUCCCUAGCCGUCGAGAAAUUUAGGAUGGGCUACUCUCUUCGGUAAAAGGCCAUAGAAAAAUGGGGCGGCAUUUGCAUCUAUACCCGCUUUUUGUGUCACAUUUUAACUUGUGCCCGCUUUGCAAAAAAAAUUGCAAGCGUACCCGCUUUUUC
rnacentral:lncRNA from 1 species